AUUGAACGCUGGCGGCGUGCUUAACACAUGCAAGUCGAACGAAGUGGCGAAAGGGUGAGUAACGCGUAAUCAACCUGCCCUUCAGAGGGGGACAACAGUUGGAAACGAAUGCUAAUAAAGCAUAGUGAAGGAGGGGAGUGCGUCUGAUUAGCUAGUUGGAGGGGUAACGGCCAACCAAGGCGAUGAUCAGUAGCCGGUCUGAGAGGAUGAACGGCCACAUUGGGACUGAGACACGGCCCAGACUCCUACGGGAGGCAGCAGUGGGGAAUCGUCCGCAAUGGACGAAAGUCUGACGGAGCAACGCCGCGUGAGUGAUGACGGCCUUCGGGUUGUAAAGCUCUGUUAAUCGGGACGCGGUACCGGAAUAGAAAGCCACGGCUAACUACGUGCCAGCAGCCGCGGUAAUUC
rnacentral:rRNA from 1 species